GCUGGGUGCAGUGGUGCACGCCUGUAAUCCCAGCAAUUUGGGAGGCUGAGGCAGGAGGAUUGCAAGUUCGUGGCCAGCCCUCGAAAUUUAGUGAGGCCCUAGGCAACUUAGCAAAACUCUGCCUCAA
rnacentral:sRNA from 1 species